UGGGGAAUUUUGGACAAUGGGGGCAACCCUGAUCCAGCAAUGCCGCGUGUGUGAAGAAGGCCUUCGGGUUGUAAAGCACUUUUGUCCGGAAAGAAAACGUCGUGGUUAAUACCCGUGGCGGCUGACGGUACCGGAAGAAUAAGCACCGGCUAACUACGUGCCAGCAGCCGCGGUAAUACGUAGGGUGCAAGCGUUAAUCGGAAUUACUGGGCGUAAAGCGUGCGCAGGCGGUCCGCUAAGACAGAUGUGAAAUCCCCGGGCUUAACCUGGGAACUGCAUUUGUGACUGGCGGGCUAGAGUAUGGCAGAGGGGGGUAGAAUUCCACGUGUAGCAGUGAAAUGCGUAGAGAUGUGGAGGAAUACCGAUGGCGAAGGCAGCCCCCCUGGGCCAAUACUGACGCUCAUGCACGAAAGCGUGGGGGAGCAAACAGGAUUAGAUACCCUGGGUAGUCCACGCCCUAAACGAUGUCAACUAGUUGUCGGGUCUUCAUUGACUUGGUAACGUAGCUAACGCGUGAAGUUGACCGCCUGGGGAGUACGGUCGCAAGAUUAAAACUUAAAUGAAUU
rnacentral:rRNA from 1 species